UUCCGAUACGUACCAUGUUUCCGUUUCCGGCAACAUCUACGACUUGGAUAAUAUUUAUAUUUCCGAUCCGAUCCAUAUUUCCGUUUCCGGCAAUAUCAUCGUUUCCGGAGUAUUCAUUUCUUGCCUGUGACGAUCUCAGCUCCCACUGAAACCAAGAUCCGUCGAUUCCGAAUAUCUAUAGAUGGAGUAUUUAAUGCCAUUAAAUACUUGAUCCGUUUACGUACUAUUUGUGUGACCCUACGGGUUCAGUCAAGAGUAAGCUGUGGAUUAAUAUCAUUAAUUCCACUUGAACUGAAGCGGCCUCUAGCUAGGCAUUCAGCGCACUUGAUCUCACUGAAUUAUUAACUUGUUAAUUAAUACUGAACCGCAUUUAUUAGACUUAACAUUGAAUGCAUACUUGGACCAAGGGCAUUAUUUCCUUCACGGCGAUGAUGGUUCUAAUUUAGUUUUCAAGGGGUGGAUUGAUGAGCAGACUCUCUCUCCUUCAACACCUGAAACUGGAACGGCUGUUUCUUUCAAGAACCUUAAACAUGAAGGUUUCCAGGGUGACAAGGAGUAUUGGUUGGUAAUGUUUUGCUACCUUUCUAUAUUCGUUCAUUUGUCAUUGACUCUUCCUAGCUGGUCUAUUUCGAUUCCUUAUAGCACGUACGCUUAUUUGAAGCAAUCAGAGUUAAACUAUAUUGGUCAACUGCAUCAUCCUAAUCUGGUGAAACUGUUUGGAUACUGCCUUGAUGGCCAAGAUUGGUUUCUGGUGUACGAUUUUUUGGCCAAAGGAAGACUAGAAAACCACUUGUUCGGGGGGCUUCCAAGAAACCUGCAUUUUAGCAUCGUCUUUCUAGAGAACCGCAAACUCAUUGGCGAUCGGCGUCGACUUCUCCGGCGAGAUUCUAACAUUGGUGUUAUUGGAUCUUCCUAGACUUCUGUUUUUCUCCACAUAUACUCUCCUUGUCCUCUUUUGGGCAGAGAUCGAUCAUCAGGCUAGAUAUCUACCAACUGAUAAGCUGAGGCUUGUUUACAUAUUGCUAAACGCUGGAAUUUACUUCAUACAAGUUUAUUACAUCUCAUGUUUACUUUAUCUUUCAUGUCAGUGAUUCGUUACCAGUUUAUUUUCGAAGGGUUUGAAUCCAUGAUAGUUAUAUUUUAUGCUUUAGGUUUGUAUCUGGAUUUUUCUCUGGUUGUAUAACAAUGAAGCAUUGGAAACCGUAGGACGGAUCUUUAUUGCAGGUUCGU